UGCAAGCGUUAAUCGGAAUUACUGGGCGUAAAGCGCGCGUAGGUGGUUUGAUAAGCGAGAUGUGAAAGCCCCGGGCUCAACCUGGGAACGGCAUUUCGAACUGUCAGGCUAGAGUAUGGUAGAGGAGUGUGGAAUUUCCUGUGUAGCGGUGAAAUGCGUAGAUAUCUGAAGGAACAUCAGUGGCGAAGGCGACUCACUGGGCCAUUACUGACGCUGAGGUGCGAAAGCGUGGGUAGCAAACAGGAUUA
rnacentral:rRNA from 12 species